GGGGGCAUAGCUCAGUUGGGAGAGCAACAGACUGAAGCAAGUAUUGUCUUCUGGAGGUCCCCAGUUCAAUCCUGGGUGCCCCCA